AUCAUCUCUGUAAACUCCAUACUCAUCCUUCUCUUCCCAGUAGAAUCAUCGGGUAUCGUAGAAAUCAAAGGCUCUUUUGCCAAAUUCUGGCUGUUUGUCAACCGAUGUUGGGACGUCAAUGUGGAUCGGUGGUUCAGUUUAAUGGCGAGAUCUUUGUAUGAAGCCUUUGUUUAUGCCACCAGUUGUGUCAUAGGACUCCUUUGUAGCCUUCUGUUCUGGAUUGUUGCGUUGAUGCAUGAACAGAUUGUCUGCUCCAUUGGCUGUCUGAAGGAUAUCUGCGACAUCUUCUCGAGAUACAUAACGUGUGCGUCCGUAUAUUGCUUUUGCGUAGCCAUCUGGGUACCUGAAAAUACCAAAUUCGUCUGGAGUUAGAUACUAGUUAUCGAAUUUAUCUUUUACGCUUAUAGUGGUUUUCAGUAUUGGACGGUUGUCGAUCGACGUUGUAUUGUUGAUGCCGAUCGAUUGUGGAUGACGGGUGUCGAUCGAUGGACGGAUUGCCCUGUCGAUCGGAUGGCUGAAACGAGUUCUUUCCCAAGCAGCUUCUGCUCGAAUCUGAUAUGUUUCA
rnacentral:lncRNA from 1 species